rnacentral:rRNA from 1 species
UACGAAGGGGGCUAGCGUUGCUCGGAAUUACUGGGCGUAAAGGGCGCGUAGGCGGCCAACUUAGUCAGAGGUGAAAGCCCAGGGCUCAACCUGGGAAUGGCCGUUGAAACUGGCGAACUGGAGUGUGGCAGAGGGGGGUGGAAUUCCGCGUGUAGCAGUGAAAUGCGUAGAGAUGCGGAGGAACACCGAUGGCGAAGGCAGCCCCCUGGGCUGACACUGACGCUCAGGCACGAAAGCGUGGGGAGCAAACAGG